rnacentral:rRNA from 1 species
GCUGGCGGCAGGCCUAACACAUGCAAGUCGAGCGGUAACAUUUCAAGCUUGCUAGAAGAUGACGAGCGGCGGACGGGUGAGUAACGCGUAGAAAUCUACCUAGUAGUGGGGGAUAGCCCAGAGAAAUUUGGAUUAAUACCGCAUACGCCCUACGGGGGAAAGCGGGGGAUCUUCGGACCUCGUGCUAUUAGAUGAGUCUGCGUCGGAUUAGCUUGUUGGUGAGGUAAUGGCUCACCAAGGCGACGAUCCGUAGCUGGUCUGAGAGGAUGACCAGCCACACUGGAACUGAGACACGGUCCAGACUCCUACGGGAGGCAGCAGUGGGGAAUAUUGCACAAUGGGCGCAAGCCUGAUGCAGCCAUGCCGCGUGUGUGAAGAAGGCCUUAGGGUUGUAAAGCACUUUCAGCAGUGAGGAAAGGGGUGUCGUUAAUAGCGCCAUCCUGUGACGUUAACUGCAGAAGAAGGACCGGCUAACUCCGUG